UACGUAGGGUCCGAGCGUUGUCCGGAAUUACUGGGCGUAAAGCGCGCGCAGGCGGCCCGCGAGGUGUCACGUGAAAGCCCCGGGCUCAACCCGGGAGGGUCGUGGCAAACCGGCGGGCUUGAGGCCGGUAGAGGUGGGUGGAACUCCUGGUGGAGUGGUGAAAUGCGUAGAGAUCAGGAAGAACACCUGUGGCGAAAGCGGCUCACUGGACCACAACUGACGCUGAGGCGCGAAAGCUAGGGGAGCAAACAGG
rnacentral:rRNA from 1 species